AUUGAACGCUGGCGGCAUGCUUUACACAUGCAAGUCGAACGGUAACAGGGUGCUUGCACCGCUGACGAGUGGCGAACGGGUGAGUAAUGCGUCGGAACGUGCCGAGUAGUGGGGGAUAACGCAGCGAAAGUUGUGCUAAUACCGCAUACGUACUGAGGUAGAAAGUGGGGGACCUUCGGGCCUCACGCUAUUCGAGCGGCCGACGUCUGAUUAGCUAGUAGGUGAGGUAAAGGCUCACCUAGGCGACGAUCAGUAGCGGGUCUGAGAGGAUGAUCCGCCACACUGGGACUGAGACACGGCCCAGACUCCUACGGGAGGCAGCAGUGGGGAAUUUUGGACAAUGGGCGAAAGCCUGAUCCAGCCAUGCCGCGUGUCUGAAGAAGGCCUUCGGGUUGUAAAGGACUUUUGUCAGGGAGGAAAUCCCUAGCGUUAAUACCGCUGGGGGAUGACAGUACCUGAAGAAUAAGCACCGGCUAACUACGUGCCAGCCGCCGCCGUAAGAC
rnacentral:rRNA from 1 species